GAUGAACGCUGGCGGCGUGCUUAACACAUGCAAGUCGAACGAUGAAGCCCAGCUUGCUGGGUGGAUUAGUGGCGAACGGGUGAGUAACACGUGAGUAACCUGCCCUUGACUCUGGGAUAAGCCUGGGAAACUGGGUCUAACACUGGAUAUGACUUCUCAUCGCAUGGUGGGGGGUGGAAAGAUUUAUUGGUCUUGGAUGGACUCGCGGCCUAUCAGCUUGUUGGUGAGGUAAUGGCUCACCAAGGCGACGACGGGUAGCCGGCCUGAGAGGGUGACCGGCCACACUGGGACUGAGACACGGCCCAGACUCCUACGGGAGGCAGCAGUGGGGAAUAUUGCACAAUGGGCGCAAGCCUGAUGCAGCGACGCCGCGUGAGGGAUGACGGCCUUCGGGUUGUAAACCUCUUUCAGUAGGGAAGAAGCGAGAGUGACGGUACCUGCAGAAGAAGCGCCGGCUAACCACGUG
rnacentral:rRNA from 1 species